CCAACCAAAAAUAGAAUGAUCUCAGGUGAGCAACACGAACCCAACCAAAAUAGAAUGAUCUCAGGUGAGCAACACGAACCCAACCAAAAUAGAAUGAUCUCGGGUGAGCAACACGAACCCAACCAAAAUAGAAUGAUCUCAGGUGAUUCAGAAGGGUAUGCAUAUUCUUCUUCAUAUUUAGCACCUGCUGUGUUGUUUAUGAAAGUUCAAAUUGAGAUAUAAGUCUAACUGGUAGAUCACACUCAUGGAAAAUGGGAC
rnacentral:lncRNA from 1 species